UUUCCAUUUCACCGGUCAUAGGUGUGUAGAGAAGUUUAUGACCGGAUUUAGGAUAGAUGGCCGUACUAUCAAGAGGGGCAAACUUGUUUGCAUAUCGGUCAUCUAGUGCCACUUGAGCGAUCUAACUUUGCAUACGUGUUAGGAUCGAGUGGCGCAGCAAGUUUGAGAGGCUAACUCCUUUGGGAAAAUGUUUGUGAAAAUGCUAACACACUUGCACUUGGUGGUGUACACUUGUUGGUGUUGGCACAUUUGCAAAGGAGGUGGAGUUCCUAGGGUUGAGAGGG
rnacentral:lncRNA from 1 species